GAUCAUUACUCUCAUCUUUCAUGGCAAUCGCAGCAUCUCUUACUUUUUGUGACCUUGCUUCAAUUUUCAUAGGUCGGCUUUCAUCUUCUCACCGUGAUACUGAAUAUAUUCAUGACAAUAAAGGAAUUCCUAUGAUCUAUUAUUGAUCUUGAACUCAAUCUAUGUUUCCUCUAUUAAAAUUGAUCCCUGGAGAUGUAUCUCUACUAUGAUCAGAAUGUGCAACAAGAUCACCACCUUUCGUCCAUGAUCACAAGCAUCACCACUGUUUACGAGCACCCUGGCUGCCCAUCUGUCGAGACAAG